rnacentral:rRNA from 1 species
UACGAAGGGGGCCAGCGUUGUUCGGAAUUACUGGGCGUAAAGCGCGUGUAGGCGGGCCGUUGAGUCGGGGGUGAAAGCCCAGAGCUCAACUCUGGAAUUGCCUUCGAUACUGGCGGCCUGGAGCAUGAUAGAGGCGAGUGGAAUUGCGAGUGUAGAGGUGAAAUUCGUAGAUAUUCGCAGGAACACCAGUGGCGAAGGCGACUCGCUGGAUCAUUGCUGACGCUGCGACGCGAAAGCGUGGGGAGCAAACAGG